AAAGUCCAAUUCAAGAAAAAGGAAAGUACAAUGCUUACCUACAUUUUGACUCUAGAAACUUUAUCUUCUCUGCGUUUUGCAUAUAGUUUUCUCUGUUAAAUUUUUACAAUCCAAAGUUAUUAUUAUAAGUGAUUAUACAUUCUAAGUUUGCUUGUUGAUGAGAUAUGAAGGAUGUUGAUCUUUUUUUUCUAGUAAUUUAAGCAUGUCAAUUUUUAGGCAGUCAUUGAGGGUACAAUACUUGAAAGUUUAGAGAUCAGGCAUUUUGUUGUUGUCCAUGGAGGCAGUUUUGGUGCGUGGUGUUGGUACAAAACUACAAUACUACUGAAAGAAACAGGAUAUCAAGUUGAUGCCAUAGAUUUAACUGGCUCUGGUGCUCAUUAUUUUGACUUCAACAACAUUACCACAUUCUCCGAAUACGUAAAACCACUCACUAAUUUCAUUGAAAAUCUAUCUGAUGGUGGUAUAAAGGUCAUCUUGGUUGGCCACGAUAUUGGAGGCGAUUGUGUCUCUUCAGAAAUGGAGCUGCAUCGAUCAAAAGUCUCUAAGGCGAUUUCAUUGCUGUAGCAAUGUUUAAAAAUGGGCAGAGCAUACUCGACAUGUUCUCAAUGCAGAUUGGCUCGAAUGAUCUUUGUCAACAUUCUCAAAAGUUUUUAUAUGCAAAUGGCAAGAAUCAUCCUCCCACUGCAAUUGACUAUGACAAAUCAUUGCUGAAAGAUGUAAUGUUCAAUUAAAUCACUGCUAAGAGUGUAUAUCUUUGAGCAAAUACAAUGAACACUGAAGAAAGAGCUAGUAGAGUUAGUAUGCUUGUGAAGAGAUAAUCAUCAAGUUUUGAUUUUUAGGCUAUUAUUUUGGCUAUUGGGGUUUUUAGGCUAUUAAUUAGCUUGUAAAAAUUGAAGACGAAAUUGUUUUCAAUAUAUUGCUUAUUUUAUUUUAUUUUAUACUUCAUCUCACAAAAAAUAAAUAUUAAAAAGAAAAAAUUACAUAACUGAACAAAUAUAAACUCUUAAUUAUUUUAUUUAGUCUAAGUUUUAAUUAAUUACAAUUCAAGCGAUCCCUAAUAGUAAUAGAAGAGGGAGUGAAAGGAGUUACAAUUCAUUGUCCCUCUUUCCAAUUAAGUGCAUCCAUACAAGUGUGAAUUAUAAACUAGAAAUACAAAUAGAAUUGCAUUAACGAAUAGAAAAAUAUAAAUGAUGGUGCGAAUAAAAUAAGUGAUUAUUUAUUUUCAUUAUCAUUCAUGAUUUAUGUUCGACGUAGCCAUAUUUUAAAAAAAUACAUAAAAAAUAUAUAAUAGAACAA